rnacentral:rRNA from 1 species
CUACGGAGGGCGCGAGCGUUGUUCGGAAUUACUGGGCGUAAAGGGCGCGCAGGCGGCUUGAUAAGUCAGAUGUGAAAGCCCACGGCUCAACCGUGGAAGUGCAUCUGAAACUGUCUGGCUUGAGUACUGGAGAGGAAAGUGGAAUUCCUGGUGUAGAGGUGAAAUUCGUAGAUAUCAGGAGGAACACCGGUGGCGAAGGCGACUUUCUGGACAGAUACUGACGCUGAGGCGCGAAAGCGUGGGGAGCAAACAGGAUUAGAAACCCCAGUAGUCC